GCGCUCAUAGCUCAGUGGAUAGAGUACCACACUCCGAAUGUGGUGGCGAGGGUUCGAUCCCCUCUGAGCGCACCA
rnacentral:tRNA from 2 species